rnacentral:misc_RNA from 1 species
AGCAGCCGCGGUAAUUCCAGCUCCAAUAGCGUAUAUUAAAGUUGCUGCAGUUAAAAAGCUCGUAGUUGAAUUUCGGGACUAAUAUGUCGGUCGUGCCUCGGUACGUACUGGUUUAUUGGUUUCUCCUUUCUGAAGAACCAUGAUGUCAUUUAUUUGGUGUCGUGGGGAAUCAGGACUGUUACUUUGAAAAAAUUAGAGUGUUUAAAGCAGGCUCACGCUUGAAUACAUUAGCAUGGAAUAAUGAAAUAGGACGUUUGAUUCUAUUUUGUUGGUUUCUAGGAUCGACGUAAUGAUUAAUAGGGAUAGUUGGGGGCAUUAGUAUUCAAUUGUCAGAGGUGAAAUUCUUGGAUUUAUUGAAGACUAACUACUGCGAAAGCAUUUGCCAAGGAUGUUUUCAUUAAUCAAGAACGAAAGUUAGGGGAUCGAAGACGAUCAGAUACCGUCGUAGUCUUAACCAUAAACUAUGCCGACUAGGGAUCGGAUGAUGUUAAUUUUUUAA